rnacentral:lncRNA from 1 species
CUACUGUGAAGCAAUCUUAGGCUGAGAGUCAGAAGAAUUGCUCUCCCAAGGGAGCGCGUCUGAUGGUGAUCACCACUAGGGAUGAGCAGGUUUUGGCACUCAGGUGAACGCACUAAUCCUGAUGAGUGUUGUGUUAUGCUAAAUUCUGCAUCAGAAAAGUGGGGCCGGAAUAAUGCUCCCUGUAAUGAACAUCACAGGUCAACUUGCAAGAUGGUGACCUACUUAUGAACGGAACAUCCUCCACGGAAAUGUGUUUGGAUUGGCAUCUACCAUUAUAGACAUAGCUAAUUCGCUGUUUUAAUUAUGUGUAAGUCUUGUAUAAGAGAUGCCCAUAGAAUUUUUCAUUUGACUGUCACCUAUUCCACUUAUGAUAGAAUCAGUUCACAUAUUCAUUCAUAAAGUGAACACUUAUUGAGCAUUUUCCAUGUGCCAGGAAUGUACUGGAGAGCACUUUUUUUUUUUUAAUUGAGGUUAUCAUAGUUUACAACAUUGUGAAAUUUCAGUUGUACAUUAUUAUUUGUCAGUCAUCUUAUGGGUGUGCCCCUUCACCCUUUGUGCCCACUCCCCACCCCCCUUCCCCCUGGUAACCACUAAUCUGUUCUCUUUGUUCAUGUGUUUGUUUAUCUUCCACAUAUGAGUGGAAUCAUACGGAGUUUUUCUUUCUCUAUCUGGCUUAUUUCACUUAACAUAAUACCCUCAAGGUCCAUCCAUGAUGUGAACGGGAUGAUGUUGUCAUUUUCUAUGGCUGAGUAGUAUUCCAUUGUGUAUAUAUAUAUAUAUAUAUAUAUAUACCAUAUCUUCUUUAUCCAGUCAUCAGUUGAUGGACACUUAGGUUGCUUCCACAUCUUUGUUAUUUUGAGUAGUGCUGCAAUGAACACAGGGGUGCAGGGGUCUUUGAAUUGUUGAUUUCAAGUUCUUUGGAUAGAUACUCAGUAGUGGGAUGGCCAGGUCACAUGGUAUUUCUAUUUUUAAUUUUUUGAGAAAUCUCUUUUCCAUAGUGGCUGCACCAGUUUGCAUUCCCACCAGCAGUGUAUGAGGGUUCCUUUUUCUUCACAACCUCUCCAACAUUUGUUAUUUUUUGUCUUGGUUACUGUAGCCAUUCUAACAGAUGUAAAGUGACAUCUUAGUGUAGUUUUGAUUUGCAUUUCCCUGAUAAUCA